UACGUAGGGCGCAAGCGUUGUCCGGAAUUAUUGGGCGUAAAGAGCUCGUAGGCGGUUUGUCGCGUCUGCUGUGAAAACCUCAGGCUCAACCUGGGAAUGGCAAUGGAUACUGGCAAGCUAGAGUGCGGUAGAGGGUAGUGGAAUUCCUGGUGUAGCGGUGAAAUGCGUAGAUAUCAGGAGGAAUACCGGUGGUGUAGACGGCUCUCUGGACCGCCACUGACGCUGAGACACGAAAGCGUGGGUAGCAAACAGG
rnacentral:rRNA from 1 species